AUAUAUUAUUCAACAGUUUGAGAAUAUCCAUCGUAGUUCCAAAUGAAGGUGGUUUUUCAAUUCGUGGCUGCUUGCCUACUGAUCCAACUCGUCCUAGCGGUAAAACAGUCGAAUGAGUGCGAUGAACUUUGCCAGGAGUUUCCCACAGGUCAUAACAUAGCCUAUCCACCUGAUUGCACCAAAUUCUGUCUUUGUGGAAAUGAUGGAAACUUGUUAAAAGAUUGCCCUCCUGGACUAGAAUUUAAUCCUGAUCUGGAAGUAUGCGACUGGCCAAGUGGUUUUUGUUAGCAUUGACAGCAUUAAUAGAAAGUUUAAAAACCC